ACGGGAGUAACCAAGUGGUUAACGGUGUGCGACUCAAAAUCUUAUUGCGCAGGCGUUAAGGGAUUAGAAUUCCUUCUCCCGCACCA
rnacentral:tRNA from 1 species